rnacentral:rRNA from 1 species
AUUGAACGCUGGCGGCAGGCCUAACACAUGCAAGUCGAACGAGUGGCGGACGGGUGAGUAAUGUCUGGGAAACUGCCUGAUGGAGGGGGAUAACUACUGGAAACGGUAGCUAAUACCGCAUACCAUCGGAUGUGCCCAGAAGGGAUUAGCGAGUGGGUGUGGUAACGGCUCACCUAGGCGACGAUCCCUAGCUGGUGUGAGUGGAUGACCAGCCACACUGUAACUUAGAGACGGUCCAGACUCCUACGGGAGGCAGCAGUGGGGAAUAGUGCACAAUGGGCGCACGCCUGAUGCAGCCAUGCCGCGUGUAUGAAGAAGGCAUUCGGGUUGUAAAGUACUUUCAGCGGGGAGGCGUUACCCGCAGAAGAAGCACCGGCUAACUCCGUGCCAGCAGACGCGGUAAUAC